rnacentral:rRNA from 1 species
ACACUUUACAAUGCGGGAAACCGCGAUAAGGGAACCCCGAGUGCCAGCAUCAAAUGUUGGCUGUCCAGAUGAUUAAAAAUCAUUUGUUAGCAAGGGCCGGGCAAGACCGGUGCCAGCCGCCGCGGUAACACCGGCGGCCCGAGUGGUAGCCGUUUUUAUUGGGUCUAAAGGGUCCGUAGCCGGCCUGAUAAGUCCUUUGGGAAAUCUGGCAGCUUAACUGUCAGGCUUCUAAGGGAUACUGUCAGGCUUGGGACCGGAAGAGGUAAGGGGUACUCCAGGGGUAGGAGUGAAAUCUUGUAAUCCCUGGGGGACCAUCUGUGGCGAAGGCGCCUUACCAGAACGGGUCCGACGGUGAGGGACGAAAGCUAGGGGAGCAAACCGGAUUAGAUACCCGGGUAGUCCUAGCUGUAAACGAUGCUCGCUAGGUGUCAGACACGGUGCGACCGUGUUUGGUGCCGCAGGGAAGCCGUUAAGCGAGCCACCUGGAAGUACGUCGCAAGGCU